CACAGAGAGUGUGCAGGGUGGUCCUUGUCCCUGCCCAAGCUGCAAGAGGCUCUGCGAAGGUCCCUCCUGCCCCUGUCCACCUUGCACAGUCCUAGCCGGGGGAGGAGGGGAGAAAUCUGGCGUGCCAGGAGCUGGCAACUGCCCAGCCCUUCCUGGAUGUGGGACUGAGGAGUCCGUCCUGAACCGAAGCAUGAUCCUGUUAGCUCUUCCAGCUCUCCAGGCGCCAACGACCAUAUGGUCUCGGUAACGACUGCUCCCCACCCGGGCUCACCUUCAGACCAGCGGCAGCGCUCACCCACCACGCCUGCCAGGGAAGCUCAGUCCCAACAGAAUCCAGAGAGGGCCCACCACAUGUGCCUGCCUGUGACGGCCUGUGACAGGGCCCCAGCCAGGGCCAACGAGCUGGAGGGGCCCAAGGAGCUGGGUGCAGCGCUGGGGUAACAGGACAGCCCCACGGGGUGCUCCCGAGUCUGGACCAGACUCGGGGUGGGGAGGCCCAGACUCGGCGGGGGGCAGACUUGGGGUGGGGGGAUUGCUGGGGGAAGUUGGGGCCUCUGGCAAGGGAUAGGGCCUGUGCUCAAGCCCAAAGGUGCCCCAGGCUGAAAUGGGCACCCAGGGGUCACUAUCAGAGCCCCAACAGCUGGCCAUGGGGGAAGCCAUGCCCAGCAAACCUGGCCCUCGGGACC
rnacentral:lncRNA from 1 species